rnacentral:rRNA from 1 species
AUGAACGCUAGCGACAGGCCUAACACAUGCAAGUCAGGGGCAGCACAAGGAGCAAUCUGAGGUGGCGACCGGCGCACGGGUGAGUAACACGUAUGCAACCUGCCUGUAAGCGGGGAAUAACCCGUUGAAAGACGGACUAACACCGCAUAAUACUAAAUUACUGCAUGGUAAUUAUUUAAACAUUUAUGGCUUACAGAUGGGCAUGCGCAUGAUUAGCUAGUUGGAGAGGUAACGGCUCCCCAAGGCAACGAUCAUUAGGGGUUCUGAGAGGAAGGUCCCCCACACUGGUACUGAGACACGGACCAGACUCCUACGGGAGGCAGCAGUGAGGAAUAUUGGUCAAUGGACGAGAGUCUGAACCAGCCAAGUCGCGUGCAGGAAGAAUGUCCUUAAUGGAUUGUAAACUGCUUUUGCAGGGGAAUAAAGUGCAUCACGUGUGAUGUUUUGUAUGUACUCUGCGAAUAAGGAUCGGCUAACUCCGUGCCAGCAGCGGC